rnacentral:rRNA from 1 species
UGGGGAAUUUUGGACAAUGGGCGAAAGCCUGAUCCAGCAAUGCCGCGUGUGUGAAGAAGGUCUUCGGGUUGUAAAGCACUUUUGUCCGGAAAGAAAUCCUUGGCUCUAAUACAGUCGGGGGAUGACGGUACCGGAAGAAUAAGCACCGGCUAACUACGUGCCAGCAGCCGCGGUAAUACGUAGGGUGCAAGCGUUAAUCGGAAUUACUGGGCGUAAAGCGUGCGCAGGCGGUUUGCUAAGACCGAUGUGAAAUCCCCGGGCUCAACCUGGGAACUGCAUUGGUGACUGGCAGGCUAGAGUAUGGCAGAGGGGGGUAGAAUUCCACGUGUAGCAGUGAAAUGCGUAGAGAUGUGGAAGGAAUACCGAUGGCGAAGGCAGCCCCCCGGGCCAAUACUGACGCUCAUGCACGAAAGCGUGGGGAGCAAACAGGAUUAGAUACCCUGGUAGUCCACGCCCUAAACGAUGUCAACUAGUUGUUGGGGAUUCAUUUUCCUUAGUAACGUAGCUAACGCGUGAAGUUGACCGCCUGGGGAGUACGGUCGCAAGAUUAAAAGCUCAAAUG